rnacentral:rRNA from 2 species
CGGAAUUACUGGGCGUAAAGCGCACGCAGGCGGUCUGUCAAGUCGGAUGUGAAAUCCCCGGGCUCAACCUGGGAACUGCAUUCGAAACUGGCAGGCUUGAGUCUUGUAGAGGGGGGUAGAAUUCCAGGUGUAGCGGUGAAAUGCGUAGAGAUCUGGAGGAAUACCGGUGGCGAAGGCGGCCCCCUGGACAAAGACUGACGCUCAGGUGCGAAAGCGUGGGGAGCAAACAGGAUUAGAUACCCUGGUAGUCCACGCCGUAAACGAUGUCUACUUGGAGGUUGUGCCCUUGAGGCGUGGCUUCCGGAGCUAACGCGUUAAGUAGACCGCCUGGGGAGUACGGCCGCAAGGUUAAAACUCAAAUGAAUUGACGGGGGCCCGCACAAGCGGUGGAGCAUGUGGUUUAAUUCGAUGCAACGCGAAGAACC